AAAAAAAUAAACCCUAAGUUUCUGUGUCCAACGUUUGACUGUCUGUCUAUAUGAAAUUUUUUUAUAAUUAGUAUUUUCAUUACUGUUAGAUGAUAAAACAUGAUUAAUACUUUAUGCAUGACUUGUCUUUUUAAUUUUUUUCAUAAUUUUUUUAAAUAAGACGGACGGUCAACGUUACGGAAAUCCAGAGUUUAUCUUUUU
rfam:Oryza sativa (indica cultivar-group) chromosome 12, whole genome shotgun sequence.